CCCUACUCUUGUUCUUUGAAGGUUCAAUUUUGGUAUGAAGCCGAGUCACGUCCUACUCUCUUCCGGAUCAGCGAUUUACCGAACGUGUAUCUAAAUGAUGAUCAAUGACUAUGAAAACAGGACACUUGAUUGAGCAAAUAAUAAUGAAUUAUAUGUAGACUGUAGUUUUUAAUUCACACAAUAAGUGUUUCCAUUUCCUCAGUAACACUAGUAUGUCAUUACUUACAAGUUACAACAAUCACAAAUCUUCCUGUACCCAAACGAACCAAAAACGUGUAAACCGACAAUUGAACACAAAAUCUUAGUGGGUGCCUUGAACAAAUUAAAUCCCCCAAUAGGUGACAUGAACGGAAGACUGGUAAUUCCCCAAGAAAAACAACGCCACAACCAGAGCACCCAAACCCAAAGGCUGCAGAUGCUUCUUUAAAGAUUCAAAGGGGUCAUAACCAAUUGGGGUUUCGAUCCCAAAGAGGUGUCUUGAAAGUUGGCCAAUGGGUUCAAGAACAUGCAACGCAGCGAGUACAAGUAGUAUUAGCAAAAAAGAUAUCAAACCCACUCGGUCUAUCAUAGGCUUGCAAAUUGGUGAUGAGAAUGAUGAGAUUGACAUGCGCAGAAAGACGACCGUUGCCGCUGAAACGACUCCGGGAAGAACACGGGUAACCCAUAGAGGCCCUGAUGUGCUUAUUGUUCUGUGAACUCCCAUGUUGAUUGCAUUGAAUAUCCUAAGCGACCUUCGAUCAAACAGUUUAUGGGUUCUUGAAAAUGAGAAUUUCUUGAUUUUUUGUUUGGAGAACGGAGAGAGAAGUGCGGAGAGAGGAGAAGGGUCAGUCCAUAACCGUCUAACUUGUUCUUCGGAUUUUUUGACCGUUAACUUCUUUUUUCUUUUUUG
rnacentral:lncRNA from 1 species